GAGGAAGCCCGGUGUGAAUCCGGCGCGGUCCCGCCACUGUGAACCCCGCCCCGCCAAGGGGCGGGCGAGCCAGGAACUC
rnacentral:ncRNA from 2 species